rnacentral:rRNA from 1 species
UACGGAGGGGGCCAGCGUUGUUCGGAAUUAUUGGGCGUAAAGGGCGCGUAGGCGGUCGAGUAAGUCUGACGUGAAAUCCCUUGGCUCAACCAAGGAACUGCGUCUUAAACUGCUCGGCUUGAGUCCGGGAGAGGGUAGUGGAAUUCCCAGUGUAGCGGUGAAAUGCGUAGAUAUCUGGAGGAACACCGGUGGCGAAGGCGGCAUCCUGGACCAUUACUGACACUGAAAAGCGAAAGCCAGGGGAGCAAACGGG